GACACAGAGAGAGAGGCAGAGACACAGGUAGAGAGAGAAGCAGGCUCCAUGCAGGGAGCCCGACAUGGGACUCGAUCCCGGGACUCCAGGAUCACACCCUGAGCCAAAGGUAGAUGCUCAACCGCUGAGCCACCCAGGCAUCCCUGUGUUAAACAGGUUUUUGUUGUUGUUGUUGUUAAACAGGUCUUAAUGAAAAUAUACCUCUAUAGUUCCAAUUCUUUGGAAAUGUGGCUCACAAAUAAGGUGUGCAUAAGGGUUUUAUUUGAUUUUGAAAAAGCUGAGGCAGAAAACAAAGUUUUGUAUAUUCAGUCAAAUAGUUGCAAUAUUGGAAAUUGAGUUUGGGUAUGAAAAGUUCAUAGUUUGCAUCGCCAGUUGUUCAUAUGAUGUAUCCAUCAGAAAAUAAAGAUACUUCUCUAUUGAUUUCUGAGCCUUUUCUAUAGAAAUUAAAUUUAAAAAUGAACACUAAAACAGCUUUGUUUGUAAUUUCUUAUGGAAGCCAAUUAAAUUUCCUUAUACUAAUAAAAAUGAUGAAAACUAUAAUCUAUUCAUCCCUUUCUAGAAUUACUACUACAUAAGCCCUGGUAGAAAUUAGUGAAUAAGUUAGUAUCAUGAUAAGUGAGUAUAAGAUCUGUGUUUGUGGCAGUAAAUUUAAAAAAUUAUUCUUCUUGAUGAGUACUGGAUCUGGAAUCAGAUAGCUUGGGUUCUAAUUCUUACUCUCUGGUUGGCUUGGUCUUUACGGCAGGUCCUCCUUAACCCUUCCUGGAUUGUUUAAUUGUAAAAUGGGCAAAGUAAUAAUGCCUGUAAGAGGGCUUCUGUCAGAAUUUGCUGACAUGACCUGUAUAGUGGCUAGCAUAGUACCCAGCACACUGUGAAUGGCUGUUAUUACAUGUGUCUUGUUUCCUUGACUUGACUGCAAGCUUUGAGAAGGCAGGGAUGAUUUCAUAUAGUUUUCUGGUCCCUUCAUCACUUAGCACACUAUCUUAUAAUUUUUUUUUACAGAUUUAUUUACUUAUUCAUGAUAGACAUAGAGGCAGGAGGAGACACAGGAGGAGGAAGCAGCAGCCUCCAUGCUGGGAGCCCAACGUGGGACUCGAUGUCGGGACUCCAGGAUCAAGACCUGGGCCAAAGGCAGGCGCUAAACAGCUGAGCCACCCAGGGAUCCCCCACUAUCUUAUAAAUUACACUCAGUACUGAGAUUUAAAACUAAAUAGCAACUCAGGGUUAGAUUAUAAAGGACCUUGACUAUCAGUUUCCAGUUUCCCCAGGGCUGCUCUAGACCUGUCUCCCAUUCUAGUAGAGCCUCUGAAUCCACUUUGAGUUGUGGUAAUGGUAGUUCAUGGCUGUUUCUUAUCCUAAUCAAGAGCAUCCAAUCCAAUCAAGCAUUCAGACAAUCAGCCAAAGGCCUGAGGCUAGAUGUAGUGCAAAAGAAAUUCCAGAUGGUCAGGGCAUUUAGGAGCUGUUACUGGGUUUCUUAGGCAUUUCUGGCUCCUGGGAGGUGUGUAAUUUAUCUCAUUUAAGUUAAAUCAUGCAGAGUAUAAUUUAUACCCUCCUUCUUUAGCUCUUCUCAUGGUAGAGUGAUUAGCUAGCUAGCAUUCUCCUUAUCGAAGGACUUGUCACUGAACAACUUAUCAGCAAUAAGCUCACAGAUAACCUGUGGUCAAUGUACAGAUCGAUGUCCUUUAAACAGACUAUGUUUCACGUCUUCAGGUUUUUUUUUACUGAGCAGUUUGAUGUGACCUAUUCCAAAAAAGAACCAAGUUUCAUGCUGGUACAUAUUCCUUCCCACCUUCUGUUAGUAAACAGAGUAUAACUGCAAGGUUUCGCAAGGCUGGGUUUCCUUCUGGAUUGGCGUGAGACUUGAAUUUUAACCUGGUAUAAUCUAGGAGUUGGAGGUAGGCUUUGAGAAUAUUUUCACUAUCACUAUAAAAUAUUUGGAAAGUUUGGAUAAGGCCUUCUUUCUGGCUCUUUUCAUUCUUCCCAAUGCUCUGUCGGUAAUAUUUCCUCAUGUGGCCAGCACUGCAGCUCCCUCUUUGGUAUUUCUUUUGUCUACUUCCAUUCUAUCUUAAUCUAAAAAAUAAAUUUCUAACAUUUUUUUAGUUCUGUCAGUGUACACUUGCAGCUGCACACAAAUUUGAUUAUAAGCUCUAUGGUGCUGUGAAAAGCUUGCAUUUUUUCCCCCCCAAAAUGACAGGCAGUGUAAAUUAUAAAGUAAAAAACAGUGUGUGUUAAAGCACUGCCAGCAAUAAAUAAAAAUGGCUUUUUUGGAGGAAAUAACUUUGGAAAUGAGGGAGAACAAGGUGGGAGGAGGAAACAAUCCACAAGGUUAGGAAAGGAAGAGCCACAUUUAGAAGAGCAUGGAAGGAUAAAGACAAUGGAAACACUUAAGGGUCUCUAUCCCAGGCAACCCUCCGGGGGUUAAGUCACAGAGGGCAGUUAGGUUGGAUUAGAUUUGCUAGUUUCUCUCCUGACAGAUACUGGACCUUUAUUUCCCAAGGACCACUCACUCCGCAUUGUUGAGUAUCUAACUUAUGCCAGGGAUCUGCACAGCAGGUGAGGAAAAAAA
rnacentral:lncRNA from 1 species